rnacentral:rRNA from 1 species
ACGGCUCAGUAACACGUGGACAACCUGCCCUUAGGACGGGGAUAAACCCGGGAAACUGGGUAUAAUACCCGAUAGGUCUCGAUUGCUGGAAUGCAUCGAGAUUUAAAGCUCCGGCGCCUAAGGAUGGGUCUGCGGCCUAUCAGGUAGUAGUGGGUGUAGCGUACCUACUAGCCUACGACGGGUACGGGUUGUGAGAGCAAGAGCCCGGAGAUGGAUUCUGAGACACGAAUCCAGGCCCUACGGGGUGCAGCAGGCGCGAAAACUUUACAAUGCUGGCAACAGCGAUAAGGGAACCUCGAGUGCCAGGUUACAAAUCUGGCUGUCGAGAUGCCUAAAAAGCAUUUCAUAGCAAGGGCCGGGCAAGACCGGUGCCAGCCGCCGCGGUAACACCGGCGGCUCGAGUGGUAACCGUUAUUAUUGGGUCUAAAGGGUCUGUAGCCGGCCGGAUAAGUCUCUUGAGAAAUCUGGCAGCUUAACUGUCAGGCUUUCAGGAGAUACUGUCUGGCUCGAGGCCGGGAGAGGUGAGAGGUACUUCAGGGGUAGGGGUGAAAUCUUGUAAUCCUUGAAGGACCACCAGUGGCGAAGGCGUCUCACCAGAACGGACCUGACGGCAAGGGACGAAAGCUAGGGGCACGAACCGGAUUAGAUACCCGGGUAGUCCUAGCCGUAAACGAUACUCGCUAGGUGUCGGCCACGGUGCGACCGUUGUCGGUGCCGUAGGGAAGCCGUGAAGCGAGCCACCUGGGAAGUACGGCCGCAAGGCUGAAACUUAAAGGAAUUGGCGGGGGAGCACCACAACGGGUGGAGCUUGCGGUUUAAUUGGAUUCAACGCCGGG